CUCCCAGCCAGCCGCCCGCUGCCCAACCGCACAGCAUCUGCAUCUAGGAAAGUGAAAAAUGAGACUGCAGAGCUAGAAUAUACGUUUCUUGAAGGCAAAUUCGAGUGCUCUGCUGUUACUGUAAAACAGGCAUGUGACUUUGGAAAAGUAGAGAACUCUGCAAAAACCUGCCCAAGGAUAAACUUCUCACUUCAGGCUGAAGUAAAGGUGGGAGAGGAAGAACAGCUUCUUUGCUUUCUCGCUUUCUGAUCGAUAAAGCAAAACCAAAACAGAACCAUAUUCAACUUGACAAAUUACUGGACACAUCCUCAUUGUGGUACUGAUCUCUUAAACAGGAAGAGCUGUGGGAAUUUGCAAGAGGAAGGAGAAGAGAAAUUUAAAAAAUA